rnacentral:rRNA from 1 species
CCUACGGGAGGCAGCAGUGGGGAAUAUUGGACAAUGGGCGAAAGCCUGAUCCAGCAAUGCCGCGUGAGUGAUGAAGGCCUUAGGGUUGUAAAGCUCUUUUACCAGGGAUGAUAAUGACAGUACCUGGAGAAUAAGCUCCGGCUAACUCCGUGCCAGCAGCCGCGGUAAUACGGAGGGAGCUAGCGUUGUUCGGAAUUACUGGGCGUAAAGCGUACGUAGGCGGUUAUUCAAGUCAGAGGUGAAAGCCUGGAGCUCAACUCCAGAACUGCCUUUGAAACUAGGUAGCUAGAAUCACGGAGAGGUUAGUGGAAUUCCGAGUGUAGAGGUGAAAUUCGUAGAUAUUCGGAAGAACACCAGUGGCGAAGGCGACUAACUGGACGUGUAUUGACGCUGAGGUACGAAAGCGUGGGGAGCAAACAGGAUUAGAUACCCUGGUAGUCCACGCCGUAAACGAUGAUAACUAGCUGUUCGGUCUCUACGAGACUGAGUGGCGCAGCUACGACAUUAAGUUAUUCCGUCCGUCGGGUAGGUACGGUCGGCGAAGAAUUAAAACUUAAAAUUAAGUAAGUUAGUACGGCGUGAGACGUGCCGACGGACGACGACGAGGGAGGUAGG